rnacentral:rRNA from 1 species
UACGUAGGGCGCAAGCGUUGUCCGGAAUUAUUGGGCGUAAAGAGCUCGUAGGCGGCUUGUCACGUCGAUUGUGAAAGCCCGAGGCUUAACCUCGGGUCUGCAGUCGAUACGGGCUAGCUAGAGUGUGGUAGGGGAGAUCGGAAUUCCUGGUGUAGCGGUGAAAUGCGCAGAUAUCAGGAGGAACACCUGCGGCGAAGGCGGGUUGCUGGGCUGACACUGACGCUGAUGCGCGAAAGCCAGGGGAGCGAACGGG